rnacentral:rRNA from 1 species
GACGAACGCUGGCGGCGUGCUUAACACAUGCAAGUCGAACGGUGAAGCGAGUGCUUGCACUCGUGGAUCAGUGGCGAACGGGUGAGUAACACGUGAGUAACCUGCCCAUCACUCUGGGAUAAGCACUGGAAACGGUGUCUAAUACUGGAUACGACCAACCCUUGCAUGGGGUGUUGGUGGAAAGAUUUAUCGGUGAUGGAUGGACUCGCGGCCUAUCAGCUUGUUGGCGGGGUAAUGGCCCACCAAGGCGACGACGGGUAGCCGGCCUGAGAGGGUGACCGGCCACACUGGGACUGAGACACGGCCCAGACUCCUACGGGAGGCAGCAGUGGGGAAUAUUGCACAAUGGGCGAAAGCCUGAUGCAGCGACGCCGCGUGAGGGAUGACGGCCUUCGGGUUGUAAACCUCUUUCAGCAGGGAAGAAGCGAGAGUGACGGUACCUGCAGAAGAAGCACCGGCUAACUACGUG